rnacentral:rRNA from 1 species
CCUACGGGUGGCAGCAGUAGGGAAUAUUGCUCAAUGGGGGAAACCCUGAAGCAGCAACGCCGCGUGGAGGAUGAAGGUUUUCGGAUUGUAAACCCCUUUUGUUAGAGAAGAUAAUGCCGGUAUCUAACGAAUAAGCACCGGCUAAAUACGUGCCAGCAGCCGCGGUACUACGGAGGGAGCAAGCGUUACUCGGAGUCACUGGGCGUAAAGAGCGCGUAGGCGGGAUAGCAAGUCAGACGGGAAAUCCUAGGGCUUAACCACAGAAGAGCAGUUGAAACUGUUAUACUAGAGUAGGGGAGAGGUAGGUGGAAUGCUUGGUGUAGCGGUGAAAUGCGUAGAGAUCGCGAGGAAUACUGAUUGCGAAGGCAGCGUACUGGAGCAAGACUGACGCUGAGGCACGAAAGCGUGGGGAUCGAACAGGAUUAGAUACCCGGGUAGUC